GCUGGCGGCAGGCCUAACACAUGCAAGUCGAGCGGCCGUAGCAAUACGGCAGCGGCAGACGGGAGAGUAACACGUGGGAACGCGCCCUUCGGUUCGGAAUAACUCAGGGAAACUUGGGCUAAUACCGGAUACGCCCUUACGGGGAAAGAUUUAUCGCCGAAGGAACGGCCCGCGUCCGAUUAGCUUGUUGGUGAGGUAACGGCUCACCAAGGCGACGAUCGGUAGCUGGUCUGAGAGGAUGACCAGCCUCACUGGGACUGAGACACGGCCCAGACUCCUACGGGAGGCAGCAGUGGGGAAUAUUGGACAAUGGGCGCAAGCCUGAUCCAGCCAUGCCGCGUGGGUGAUGAAGGCCCUAGGGUUGUAAAGCCCUUUCGGCGGGGAAGAUAAUGACGGUACCCGCAGAAGAAGCCCCGGCUAACUUCGUGCCAGCAGCCGCGGUAAUACGAAGGGGGCUAGCGUUGCUCGGAAUUACUGGGCGUAAAGCGCACGUAGGCGGCUUCUUAAGUCGGUGGUGAAAUCCUGGAGCUCAACUCCAGAACUGCCUUCGAUACUGGGAAGCUCGAGUCCGGGAGAGGUGAGUGGAACUGCGAGUGUAGAGGUGAAAUUCGUA
rnacentral:rRNA from 1 species